CAGCAGCCGCGGUAAUACGUAGGUGGCAAGCGUUAUCCGGAAUUAUUGGGCGUAAAGCGCGCGUAGGCGGUUUUUUAAGUCUGAUGUGAAAGCCCACGGCUCAACCGUGGAGGGUCAUUGGAAACUGGAAAACUUGAGUGCAGAAGAGGAAAGUGGAAUUCCAUGUGUAGCGGUGAAAUGCGCAGAGAUAUGGAGGAACACCAGUGGCGAAGGCGACUUUCUGGUCUGUAACUGACGCUGAUGUGCGAAAGCGUGGGGAUCAAACAGGAUUAGAUACCCUGGUAGUCCACGCCGUAAACGAUGAGUGCUAAGUGUUAGGGGGUUUCCGCCCCUUAGUGCUGCAGCUAACGCAUUAAGCACUCCGCCUGGGGAGUACGACCGCAAGGUUGAAACUCAAAGGAAUUGAUGGGGACCCGCACAAGCGGUGGAGCAUGUGGUUUAAUUCGAAGCAACGCGAAGAACCUUACCAAAUCUUGACAUCCUUUGACCCUUCUAGAGAUAGAAGUUUCCCCUUCGGGGGGCAAAGUGACAGGUGGUGCAUGGUUGUCGUCAGCUCGUGUCGUGAGAUGUUGGGUUAAGUCCCGCAACGAGCGCAACCCUUAAGCUUAGUUGCCAUCAUUAAGUUGGGUACUCUAAGUUGACUGCCGGUGACAAACCGGAGGAAGGUGGGGAUGACGUCAAAUCAUCAUGCCCCUUAUGAUUUGGGCUACACACGUGCUACAAUGGACAAUACAAAGGGCAGCGAAACCGCGAGGUCAAGCAAAUCCCAUAAAGUUGUUCUCAGUUCGGAUUGUAGUCUGCAACUCGACUACAUGAAGCUGGAAUCGCUAGUAAUCGUAGAUCAGCACGCUACGGUGAAUACGUUCCCGGGUCUUGUACACACCGCCCGUCACACCACGAGAGUUUGUAACACCCGAAGCCGGUGGAGUAACCAUUUGGAGCUAGCCGUCGAAGGUGGGACAAAUGAUUGGGGUGAAGUCGUAACAAGGUAGCCGU
rnacentral:rRNA from 1 species